rnacentral:lncRNA from 1 species
GGCUGAAGUUUUUAUAAAGGAAAAUGCUAGAGACUCCAAAAAAUUGUCCCAAAUGAUGUGUCCAAAUCUGAUUGGCUGAAUUCCCUCCCAUAAUAAUGAGACCCCCCUGCAGAUUCAUCAAUCAUCCAAUCAUAACUAGCCACUUGUUUGCCACAUCAUUUGGUAAAAAUUUUUGGGAAUUUUUUUUUGGGUCUCUAGCAUUUCCCUUUUAUAAAACAUUCUUUUAAAGUUUGUUAACAACCAGAUUAGUAGCAGUCGCGUAGGUCAGUACGUGGUACUGAAGCUUCGGAUAAGAACAAGAAAAACAAACACAAAAACACACACAAAAGCAUAGACGCAGCAGCAACAGGGCUGUGGGAAAGAAAAGAGAAAAAGGGGGCUAGGGUUUUGUCAGCGUCUCAAUUCAAUCCAUUGAAUUGAAGGUGAGAACUGAUUUCAUUCACUGUGUCGUGUGUAUACAUCUUGCUGGUACAUGCUUGUAUAUGCCUGGGAUUAUGAUUGAAUUGGGAUGUUAUGAGGUUGCUGGUGAGUUUGGGGAGGCGGCGUUAGCGUCGUCGGAGGCUUGAAGUUUUGUGGGUAACAUUGAUGAUGGCUGGAUGUUGCGAAGGCUGUGGGUGAUUGAACAGGACCGAAAGGAUGUACUGAGGAGACAUGGUUGUAUUGUAUGUGAUUGGUGGGUUUGUGUUUAGAGGGUGACCAGCGGUGACGGGCUGCAUUGGUGGUGGCGAUGCCUGGGAUGCCGCCGGAGUCGAACUGUGGCGAGAGGUGUGAGAAACCAGCAGUGAAGAAGAAACACGGCAGAGCUGUGUUGCGUUGCAGGGAGAUGGCAGUUGUAUGCUUUAGGUUGCAACUGAGGUGUUUGAUGUGGGGUUUGAGAGAGUUGAAGGUGGGUAGCCAGGUGUUGGAGUGGAUUGCAGAAGGCGGUGACAGAGAUUGUUCUUCACCGGAGAUGUGGGUGAUGGAAUAGGACUGAAAUAAGGAAAGAAGGGGUGACUGAGGUUGUUUUGUGGCUGUGGCCUGGGCUGUUGGGCAUCGCCGGAGAAGAGGACUGAGUUGAUGGAGUCACAGCAGCUAGAACAGGGGAAGGCAGGUGGUUGAGAGGGAGAGAACGGCACGGGUGCUGUAGAUCGUAGGGGUGUACAUACAGUGAAGUGCAAGGGUGAGAAGGGAAGGGGUUCUGAUUCCGAUGACUGAAACCCGUUACAAAGGGUGUUAGUGGUAGUGUUCGGGUUCGAGAGCAGCACGCAGGUUGGAACUGUGAUAGUGAUUCUAGUUUGCUUUAUAUGCCCUGGUGUGUUGUGAGUUUGUUAUGUGUGAUGGUGAUCCUUGUUGGUUGAGCAUGGAGGGUGUGGAAUUGUGUUUAGUGGUGUCGCAAGAGGUGUGGUUUUCCGGCGAGUUUCGAAGAUGUAAGAGAGAUUAAUUGGCUGGGUAGAUUUCCGUCAAAAAAAAAAUUGGCUGGGUAGAUUAAUAAUUGGUAAUGGUAAUGAAUCUGGUUAGUGAAGACAAAGAAAGUUUAGGGAAAUUAGAGGUUUUGUUGUGGUGUUGCACGAUCCCGAGGUUCGGAUGGCGCCCUGCAGCUCUUUCGGAAAUUAGAAAUGGAAUAGAAUGUUGAUUAAAUGUUAAUUAUUAAUUAUUAUUAUGACUAUUAAUAUUAAUAUUAAUAUCAAUUUUUUUGAUAUUAAUAAUGAUGAUUAAUAAUUUUAAUAUUAUUAAUAAUCAAUAAUUGAUUAAUGUAAAUUCCAAUUUUAUAUUCUGACCAUUAUGAUUGAAGGUCGUUGUUUACUUUCGAAUUACGUGAAUCGUGAAUUAUAGUUGAAAUUGAUAUUGCUGUGAAUAAUACUACUUUAUAUUGAGUAGGUGCGAUGUUUAGGACGUGCAUCUAGAGUUAUAUUGGAAUAGUUGGAUUACGAUGGAGAUUGCGAAGUGUAUUAUUAUUACUAAAUAAUACGUGUUUAUUGUAAGAACAUAUUUACGAGAUUUAAUUGUUUCGAUCUUGUGACGAAUAAUAUAUUAUUUGAUUUGGACAGAGAUUGCUGUACUAUUGAAUUGAGGUUUACUCGAUUUUACAAGAUAUGAUGUCCAAAAUUAUAUUAUUUUAUUAAUUUAGUUUGAUGAGAUUCCGAGUUGAUUUGAGAUGUGACUGGAUUACAACUGGAUUUGUAAUUCACAUUUGGCUUAGAUUAUAUUUCUGAAAUGGAUUGUAGCCAAAGAUAUAUUUUCACUGUGUUAAUUGUUUGUAUAUAAUCAAAUAUAAGAUUAUAUACAUGAUUAUUAGAUUAUAUUUAUAUUUUGUAUAAAUAUUAAAGCAUGCAAAUUAAUUGGUACGUGCUGAUGUGAUUAUGUGUUUAAUUGGGUGACACUACGUGUAUAUAUUAUUAAUUAGUUAUAUAUUAUUUGUUAUCAUUACGAAGGGUAGUAAUAUAACUUCGAUCCUACAAGUUAGACAACGCUUGGGAUUGUUCUUCAAACUAAAGUAUUGUGUUGCUCUCAUAUAUUGUCGAUCGAGACACGUGCAUCAACAACUUUCAAAAGCAAGCGCACAAUGCUACAAGUCAAGCCAGAAAUAGUUUGAUAAGGUGAUAUUGUGCCGUAAGAUAGGCGAGUAGAAUAUAGUCAUUGCAGAAUAGCAAUUGAAGCCAGUGUAGAAAUCUUGAGUAGAGUGACUGAAUUGUCACAUGUUUUUCUGUCAAAGGCAAGUAUUCCUAUUCUUCUCUUUUAUUUAAAGAGCAAGUAUUUCAAUUCCAUCUUUUAAUAAAUCAAGUUUUAUAUGUAUGACUUGUAGUUCCUGCAAGCAUGACUAUCCAUUUUCGAGAUUUAAAAGUGCAAAUUCAAUUAUCUGUAUCUUGUGAUAUAAAAUAUCGAAGAUCUUUAGUUCGAUACUUUUUACAGUUAUAUGAACAGUGACUACUUUAUUUGAAAAGUAUUCUGAUUAUUUUAAUCAGUUUUCUGGAAAUUAUUGUCUGAGUCUCUUUACAGUUUGAAAACUAUUGAUGACUCUAUAGCAGUCAUAUUCUGAUACUACAAUAUAUGCCUGGUCUUCUGUCCUCGACAUAAACCCUGGAUUUUUUAAAUAGCGAAAAUAGUUGUUUUGAUUCCUUUGAGCCGCAUUGCGGUGGAUUUUAAAACUGUACUCAGACUUUAAUGAAAUUGAUUUGGACAGUAUUUUGAAAUUGAAAACUAAAGAGUUUUCAGGAAGGUUUUGAAAGGAUGAUUGUAUGGCAUAAGGGACUAAUUAAUUAUCCUGCCAGAAAGACCAGCAAAAAUAUUUUGUUUUGAUUGGAUGUGUGGUUUGCGUAAGAGGCCGGGACGGCGAUCCAGUGAAGGGCUAUUUGGGUAUUAUUGAAAUAUGAUAAUACUUUGCUGCCAAAGGCCAAUGUGUUGCCUUCUAUUUGGUACCUGUUAAUUAGGACAUGCUCCUACGAAGUGUGGUCCCGUGCUAUCACAUGGUAUGAUCAAUUGUGAUAGUGCACCCGUCAGUUGUGUAUUCCAAUCCAAAAACUGGUCAUUAUUGUUUAAGCUUAUGAUAGCUUAUGUUUACUGUCAAAUAUAUCUUGUGAAUUUUCAAGCAUUUUGAUAUAUAUGUUUGAUAAACUUUUGAAUUACAAUUGUUUAUAUCUAUUUCAAAAGUUGCUUUAUUUCAAAUACUCUAAUUUAAUCUAAGAAAAUUUAUAUCUUGUGGCUCUUGCCUUUCCUAUUAUCUUGCUGAGCAUUUUCGCUCACUCGUGCUAUUAUUUCUAACCCUUUCAGCUAGGGAUUGAGAUGGUCACCUGUAUAAGCUGCGCGUAAGAUUGAUGCUAGGCGAGAAUGCCAGAGAGAUGUCUGUGAAACCAAUUAUGGUUAGAAUUUGUUAGGUCCUAAAACGAUUGUAGAAGGGGGGGUUGAAUACAAUCGUCACUAAAAAUCAUGGCGGAAUAAUCUGAUUUGAAAUAAACUUGUUAAUCAGAUUUUAAUUAAUUAAUAUAACAAUAUUUUAAGUCGUUAUAUAAUUAAUAUGGUUCGUUUUAAUGUCCAUUAAAGUUCGUAGAAUAAAUUUGACAGGAUGUAUUCUAACUUAGUGAUUAAAACAACCGAGUGAUCAAAGCACAGAAAACUGUGGAGAUAACAAUAGCAAGUUACAAACAACUUGAAAGCUUUUACAAUGCUUGAACACUUACAAAUGAAGAACUGAAGCCAUAUUUAUAGGCAAAUCACUUGGAUCUAGGUAUGACAAAGAAAGGAAUGACUUUCUAGCUUAGGAAUGACAUUACAAUGGAAGAUAUGAAAUUAGUACACAAAGCCACGCCUUAAACCAAAGAAGGAAUGACAUUUAAAAGGAAUUUCAUACUGCCAGGGGCGGUAUGACUUUAUUCCUUGGCCACUACUCUUCAUUUGGCAUGACUUAACCAAAGAAAGCCAUUCGGUUGAGCCUUAUAUGACAUUAUAAGUCAUAUACAUGCAAGUCAUACACACAAAGCAACAAAGCCUAAUGCAAGCAAACGGUAUGACUUUUAUUCUGAAAGUCAUAUCGACUGAAUAAGUCAUGUAGAGUGCAUCAGAAUGACAUAUAAAAGCCAUGCUGAGAAAGCCUACUCAACUGAAACGGUAUGACUUUCCCUAGGAAUGUCAUACCGCGCCAAAUAUGCAUUAAAACAAUUGAUUUAAUUGAAUAUAUACUUAAUAAUUACUCACUUAAUUAUAUUAAUUAUAUAAAUUCAUAAAUUAAAUUAAUUCGAAGGUGAAUCAAUUUAAUAAAUAAAUUAUACAACUAAUUUAAUUAUUUUGAUAAGUGAAAUAAUUAAAGAAAUAUUUAUUAAAUUAUAUUUCUUCAACAGCAGGGACUCCAGGCUUUGAUGAACGUUGUAGAUCUUCGUCUAGAUUGAACGGC